GGACUACUGGGGUUUCUAAUCCCGUUCGCUCCCCUGGCUUUCGCGCCUCAGCGUCAGUAGAGAUCCAGUGCGUCGCUUUCGCCACCGGCGUUCCUUCUGAUAUCUACGCAUUUCACCGCUCCACCAGAAGUUCCACGCACCCCUACCUCCCUCUAGUUCGCCAGUAUCAGAGGCUGUUUUCCGGUUGAGCCGAAAGAUUUCACCCCUGACUUGGCAAGCCGCCUACGCGCCCUUUAAGCCCAGUGAAUCCGAACAACGUUCGCACGGUUCGUCUUACCGCGGCUGCUGGCAC
rnacentral:rRNA from 2 species